rnacentral:rRNA from 1 species
UACAGAGGUCCCAAGCGUUGUCCGGAAUUAUUGGGCGUAAAGCGCGCGCAGGUGGUUCCUUAAGUCUGAUGUGAAAGCCCACGGCUCAACCGUGGAGGGUCAUUGGAAACUGGGGAACUUGAGUGCAGAAGAGGAAAGUGGAAUUCCAAGUGUAGCGGUGAAAUGCGUAGAGAUUUGGAGGAACACCAGUGGCGAAGGCGACUUUCUGGUCUGUAACUGACACUGAGGCGCGAAAGCGUGGGGAGCAAACAGG